ACCUCGGUGCUUGCACCGGGUGAUCAGUGGCGAACGGGUGAGUAACACGUGAGCAACCUGCCCCCGACCCUGGGAUAACCCCGAGAAAUCGGAGCUAAUACCGGAUACGAGACGCACAGGCAUCUGUAGCGUCUGGAAAGAUUCAUCGGUCAGGGAUGGGCUCGCGGCCUAUCAGCUAGUUGGUGAGGUAGUGGCUCACCAAGGCGACGACGGGUAGCCGGCCUGAGAGGGCGACCGGCCACACUGGGACUGAGACACGGCCCAGACUCCUACGGGAGGCAGCAGUGGGGAAUAUUGCACAAUGGGCGCAAGCCUGAUGCAGCGACGCCGCGUGGGGGAUGAAGGCCUUCGGGUUGUAAACCCCUUUCAGCAGGGAAGAAGCGAAAGUGACGGUACCUGCAGAAGAAGCGCCGGCUAACUACGUGCCAGCAGCCGCGGUAAUACGUAGGGCGCAAGCGUUGUCCGGAUUUAUUGGGCGUAAAGAGCUCGUAGGCGGUUUGUCGCGUCUGCUGUGAAAACCCGAGGCUCAACCUCGGGCCUGCAGUGGGUACGGGCAGACUAGAGUGCGGUAGGGGAGACUGGAAUUCCUGGUGUAGCGGUGGAAUGCGCAGAUAUCAGGAGGAACACCGAUGGCGAAGGCAGGUCUCUGGGCCGCAACUGACGCUGAGGAGCGAAAGCAUGGGGAGCGAACAGGAUUAGAUACCCUGGUAGUCCAUGCCGUANACGUUGGGCACUAGGUGUGGGGCUCAUUCNACGAGUUCCGUGCCGCAGCAAACGCAUUAAGUGCCCCGCCUGGGGAG
rnacentral:rRNA from 1 species